rnacentral:lncRNA from 1 species
GGUAUCCAUGUUGGAAUCUCUCAUUUGAUUCUUAUUCAAAUUUAGGUUCUGUCAAUAGAAGAUACUAAAGAAAGAAAGCCAGGAGAAGAAAAGAGACUUCUUUCUUCAAGGUCUAAGCUGUUCUAAUAGCAUUAUUCUGGGAAUGGCAUCUUCCACUCCUCCUAGUACAAAGAACCUGCUUCCUCAUACCCCGUCAAGGAACUGCAGCAUCCAGGUGAUGGCCACAGUGGCAGAACCUAGGAAGCCAAGAAGAAACCAGAGAAUGGAGACACAUGGCAGCAAUGGCAAGUCAUCAGACCCAGGAUUUCCCAAAGAACACUGGUCCAGGAAGAUGCUCUGUGAAAAAGUGUUCCCUGGUCAGAGAAAUUUGUGAAACACUUUGCAUACUUAAAAGAAUGUAUGGCACAUCAAAGGUAAUAUGCAAUAAAAGAAUUCAUUUUUUAAAAACCAAGCAUA